GUAACGGGAUCUCCCUCCAGGAGGAGGGGGCUUCGGCCCCUGCGGCUGAGGCCGUCGUUACCAGCACCGGCCGACAUCUGUAAGGAGGUGACCUUGUCGGCUACGUUCCGCACAGGUGGGCCGACCCACCGGCCCGUGCUUCUCCAGCGGGCUGCUCUGGAAUCGGGGCUCGCAGACACUCCCCGGAUCGGGAACGAAACGGGGCUCCGACCUCCCGCCCGUCUGGGCGGUGGAACCGGUGCGGGACAUGUGCGAGGAGAGACCACCGGCACCUCACCUGGU
rnacentral:sRNA from 1 species